rnacentral:rRNA from 1 species
AACGAACGCUGGCGGCAUGCCUAACACAUGCAAGUCGAACGAGACCUUCGGGUCUAGUGGCGCACGGGUGCGUAACGCGUGGGAACCUGCCCUUAGGUUCGGAAUAACUCCCCGAAAGGGGUGCUAAUACCGGAUAAUGUCUUCGGACCAAAGAUUUAUCGCCUUUGGAUGGGCCCGCGUUGGAUUAGCUAGUUGGUAGGGUAAAAGCCUACCAAGGCGACGAUCCAUAGCUGGUCUGAGAGGAUGAUCAGCCACACUGGGACUGAGACACGGCCCAGACUCCUACGGGAAGCAGCAGUGGGGAAUAUUGGACAAUGGGCGAAGGCCUGAUCCAGCAAUGCCGCGUGAGUGAUGAAGGCCUUAGGGUUGUAAAGCUCUUUUACCCGGGAUGAUAAUGACGGUACCGGGAGAAUAAGCUCCGGCUAACUCCGUG